rnacentral:rRNA from 1 species
CAGUCGCCACGGUAACACCGAGGGUGCGAGCGUUAAUCGGAUUUACUGGGCGUAAAGCGUGCGUAGGCGGCUUUUUAAGUCGGAUGUGAAAUCCCUGAGCUUAACUUAGGAAUUGCAUUUGAUACUGGGAAGCUAGAGUAUGGGAGAGGAUGGUAGAAUUCCAGGUGUAGCGGUGAAAUGCGUAGAGAUCUGGAGGAAUACCGAUGGCGAAGGCAGCCAUCUGGCCUAAUACUGACGCUGAGGUACGAAAGCAUGGGGAGCAAACAGGAUUAGAUACCCCAGUAGUCCCUGUCUCUUAUAC